UUGGUUCUGGCAUCGAUGAAGAACGCAGCGAAAUGCGAUAAGUAAUGUGAAUUGCAGAAUUCAGUGAAUCAUCGAAUCUUUGAACGCACAUUGCGCCCCUUGGUAUUCCGAGGGGCAUGCCUGUUCGAGCGUCAUUACACCACUCAAGCUCUGCUUGGUAUUGGGCCCUCGUCCUCCCGGGGACGUGCCCGAAAAUCAGUGGCGUCGCCGCCUGACUUCAAGCGCAGUAAUUCUUCUCGCUUUGGAAGGAAGGGUCGGCCGACCGCCAGACAAACCCCAUAUUUUUUCUAUGGUUGACCUCGGAUCAGGUAGGGAUACCCGCUGAACUUAAGCAUAUCAAUAAGCGGAGGAAAAGAAACCAACAGGGAUUGCCUCAGUAACGGCGAGUGAAGCGGCAACAGCUCAAAUUUGAAAUCUGGCUCUUUCAGGGUCCGAGUUGUAAUUUGUAGAGGAUGUUUCGGGUGUGGCUCCGGUCUAAGUUCCUUGGAACAGGACGUCAUAGAGGGUGAGAAUCCCGUAUGUGACUGGAAGCCUUCGUCCAUGUGAAACUCCUUCGACGAGUCGAGUUGUUUGGGAAUGCAGCUCAAAAUGGGUGGUAAAUUUCAUCUAAAGCUAAAUACUGGCCAGAGACCGAUAGCGCACAAGUAGAGUGAUCGAAAGAUGAAAAGCACUUUGGAAAGAGAGUUAAAAAGUACGUGAAAUUGUUGAAAGGGAAGCGCUUGCAACCAGACUUGCUCGCGGUUGCUCAGCCGGUGUUCUCACCGGUGCACUCUUCCGCGAUCAGGCCAGCAUCGGUUUGGGCGGCUGGAUAAAGGCUYUGGGAAUGUGGCUCCUCUCGGGGAGUGUUAUAGCCCAGGGUACAAUGCAGCCUGCCCGGAUCGAGGACCGCGCU
rnacentral:rRNA from 1 species